rnacentral:rRNA from 1 species
AACGAACGCUGGCGGCAUGCCUAACACAUGCAAGUCGAACGAUUGCCUUCGGGUGAUAGUGUCUAACGGUUUCGUAACGCGUGGGAAGCGUACCGUAGGUUCGGACUAACAUCUGGAAACGGCUGCUAAUAGCGGACGAUAUCGCGAGAUCAAUGCUUUAUCGCCUGAGGAUGGGGGCGCGUUGGAUUAGGUAGUUGGUGGGGUAAAGGCCUACCAAGCCGACGAUCCAUAGCUGGUCUGAGAGGAUGAUCAGCAACACUGGGGGUGAGACACGGCCCGGACUCUUCCGGAAGGCAGCAGUGCGGAAUAUUGAACACUGGGCGCAAGCCUGAGGCAGCAAGGUCGCGUGAGUGAUGAAGGCGGUAGGGUUGUAAAGCUCGUUAAUCCGGGAAGAUAUUGACUGUACCGGGAUAAAAAGCCACGGCUAACUCCGUG